rnacentral:rRNA from 1 species
CCGACGGUGAGAGGUGAAAGCUGGGGGAGCAAACCGGAUUAGAUACCCGGGUAGUCCCAGCUGUAAACGAUGCGCGUUAGGUGUGUCAGUGACCACGUGUCACUGAUGUGCCGAAGGGAAACCGUGAAACGCGCCGCCUGGGGAGUACGGUCGCAAGGCUGAAACUUAAAGGAAUUGGCGGAGGAGCACCACAACGGGUGGAGCCUGCGGUUUAAUCGGACUCAACGCCGGAAAUCUCACCGGAUAA